rnacentral:lncRNA from 1 species
UUUUAGUUCUCUGGUAACCACCAGGUUUCCUUCCUCCUCAGAUGCAGAACCCCGACACACUGUCAGCCAUGUCGAACCCUAGAGCCAUGCAGGCGCUGCUGCAAAUCCAGCAGGGCUUGCAGACGUUGGCCACAGAAGCUCCCGGCCUCAUCCCAGGGUUUACUCCUGGCUUGGCAGCGGGCAAUUCUGGAGGCCCUGCAGGAACCACUGCACCUAGCACUGCACCUGGUGAGGAUACGAACCCCCAAGGGGGCGCUGCUGAGCCAGGCCACCAGCAGUUUAUCCAGCAAAUGCUGCAGGCCCUCGCCGGGGUGAACCCUCAGCUGCAGAGUCCAGAAGUCAGAUUUCAACAGCAACUGGAACAGCUCAGUGCAAUGGGAUUCUUGAACCGUGAAGCAAACUUACAAGCACUGAUAGCAACAGGGGGCGACAUCAAUGCGGCCAUUGAAAGGUUGCUGGGUUCCCAGCCGUCAUAGCAGCAUUUCUGUAUCCUGAAAAAAUGUAAUUUAUUUUUGAUAACGGCUCUUAAAUCUUUAAAAUAACCUGCUUUAUUUCAUUGGGAUUCUGUGCUGUUGUAAAGGAAACCAAUAGGAAGUCUCUGGAGGUGGAGUGCAGUAAGAUGUGCGGGUUUCUGUGUCUUUGGAACAGUGGGAAUCGAUGUCUCUGGUUAAGGCCGCUGCAUGCGUCAAACACUUGGCAUUUGUUGUAAUCUUUUAAACAUCACCUUUUCUAAUUGGGUGAACACAUUUUUGUCCUGCAUCUGUCCAACUAACUUGCUUUUUAAACAUAGCCCUCUGGUAGUAAUUUAUGUAGAAUAAAGGCAUUAAAAAGCAGAUCAUUUGCGCUCCAUGGUUUCUGGUACAACAUUGCUGAUGUGACUUUGGCAUGCGCUUUGCAAACGCUGCCGUAAGGUUUCUACUGCUGACAGUUUUCUCUAUUUGUAUACAGAACCAAUUACUGCACAUUUCUAGGCAUCUAAGCAAAAUUUCUGUAACCGAAAAAGUACGAUAAGGAUUCCUAAGUGUGUAGAAUCUUGCAGCACCUUUGAUAAACAUCUCUCAGCAGAAGUGCCAUUUAGUCAGUGUGGAAAAUAAAGAAAAACUAAUUCUGGUUAUCUCUUUAGGGACAUUUAAUUGUACAGGCAACAUAAUGUAAGGACAUCUCAACAUUCUAUAAUGGCUGUAAAUUACCUUUAUUUGUGCCGACUGAAGGAGCACGUGCCACACUCUGUCUGUACCACACUCUCUGCUGGGUUUGCUGGGGCUUCCUGCUCCCCGCAGGGUCUAAGCAGCACUGGGGUAUUGAGACGUCGCUUUCACUGGAGGUGCUUAUGCUUCCGGUUGGUUGGCGUAUAACGGUAGAGCUCUCUUGGGUUUACCAGCUUUCUCAUCCAUAGGCAAUACCUGGAUCUUAAAUGAUUAGUGAGCCACUCGUCUCUCAGUGUUUGGCUAGUUCUAUAAAGAAGUAGUUUAAUGUCUUGCUGUUCGGAGCCUCGGAAGGGGGUGGGGGAGGGUUGAGACAGAAUCUGUGCUGGAUUGGGCCAGCCUGAACUAGGUAAUACCGGCAACUCUGAUUCUGUGAAGAUUCUAUGCAUACGGUAGUGUCGGUCGGGUGGAAAAGAGCCGUUUUAACAAUUUUCAGUAAGUUUGGCUGUUCUAUAGCCCCUUUCUUCCUUCCCCAGAGACGUUCUGCUUGCCUGACUCUCACACUCUUGGGGUGAUACAUUCCUUUGGGACCAGUUAAAAUACAACGUUAGGGUCAGUGAUGUAUGUGACUGACUCUGGUUCAGUAUUCUCUUAGGUCACUGUGUUCUCUCUUGUAUGGUUGCCCGAAAUUAUAAUGUUAAAUAAUCUAGAAUGAGUUCAGACAAGUAAAAUCAAGGGAAAUAGAAGGUGAAUUCUGUAACUUCUGUAAGUCGCUUGAUACUAAAAGGUUGAGAGGCAGGUUGGCCCCAGGCUGUACACUUUUCUGACACUUUCUCCAGGAAGAAAACAUGGAUAAAGGUCGGGGUGGAGGCGUGACUGAGGAGGUCGGCACAGUGUGCACAUGUCUGCUCUCUGCCUCACGCCUCAGUCUGUCUGGUUGAAAGACUUUGUACGGGUGAAUGGUAAUAUACUGGUGGGGCAGUGUCAAAAGCAGUUUGAUUUAUUAAUCACCAAAUAACAAUAAACCUCCAGCUUUUACACUUGG